rnacentral:rRNA from 1 species
UACGGGGGAGCAAGCGUUGUUCGGAUUUACUGGCGUAAAGGCGCGUAGGCGGUCUAGCCAGUCCGGGGUGAAGACCUCCAGCUCAACUGGAGAAGUGCUUGGAUACUGCUGGACUCGAGCGAGGGUGAGGGGUGAUGGGAACUUCCGGUGGAGCGGUGAAAAUGCGUUGAUAUCGGAAGGAACGCCGGUGGCCGAAAGCGCAUCGACUGGACCUCUUCGUGACGCUGAGGCGCGAAAGCUAGGGGAAGCAAACGGGG